UGAACGCUAGCUACAGGCUUAACACAUGCAAGUCGAGGGGCAGCAGAUCGAAAGCUUGCUUUGAUGCUGGCGACCGGCGCACGGGUGAGUAACGCGUAUCCAACCUUCCCUGUAGUAGAGAAUAGCCCGGCGAAAGUCGGAUUAAUGCUCUAUGUUGUAUUUCGAUGACAUCUGAAGAAUACCAAAGGUUUACCGCUAUAGGAUGGGGAUGCGUCUGAUUAGGUUGUUGGCGGGGUAACGGCCCACCAAGCCCACGAUCAGUAGGGGUUCUGAGAGGAAGGUCCCCCACAUUGGAACUGAGACACGGUCCAAACUCCUACGGGAGGCAGCAGUGAGGAAUAUUGGUCAAUGGACGGAAGUCUGAACCAGCCAAGUAAGCGUGCAGGAUGACGGCCCUAUGGGUUGUAAACUGCUUUUAUAUAGGGAUAAAGUCGGGGACGUGUCCCCGUUUGUAGGUACUAUAUGAAUAAGGACCGGCUAAUUCCGUGCCAGCCGCGGC
rnacentral:rRNA from 1 species